CCCUAUCAAGGCUGGAUUGAGUCUUGCUUACUUUUGCACCAAUCAAUGGCAAAGGCGAAAGGAUUACUUCUAGAUGGCUCAAGUGCUCCCCCAGACUGGGGACGUUUCCCCAGAAUCCCUUGGCAUAAGGAAAGCAAGCUUCCCUGUUGUGAGCAGCCAUAUAGAGAGACCCACGUGACAAGGAGCUGGUAUCUCAAGCCAGCAGACAGCAAGGGGCUGAGGCCUGCUGACAGUCACGUGGGUGAGUAUGGAAGUAGACCCUUCUCCAGCCGGGCUUUCAGAUGACUGCAGCCUCAGCCGACAUCUUGGUUGCAGCUUCAGGAGAUACCCUGAGUUGGAAGCCUCCAGCUAAGCCUUAAAUGGAUUCAUGACUCACAGAAACUGUGAAAUAAUAAAUGUUUUUAGCCACUAAAGUAUGGGAUAGUU
rnacentral:lncRNA from 13 species